GGCGUCGUCGCCAAAUGGCUAAGGCAGUGGAUUGCAAAUCCACCAUAUCCCGGUUCAAGUCCGGGCGACGCCU
rnacentral:tRNA from 1 species